AAACGGCGGCCGUAACUAUAACGGUCCUAAGGUAGCGAAAUUCCUUGUCGGUUAAAUACCGACCUGCAUGAAUGGCGUAACGAGAUGGGAGCUGUCUCAACCAGAGAUUCAGUGAAAUUGUAGUGGAGGUGAAAAUUCCUCCUACCCGCGGCAAGACGGAGAGACCCCGUGGACCUUUACU
rnacentral:rRNA from 1 species